rnacentral:rRNA from 1 species
UACAGGGGGUGCAAACGUUGCUCGGAAUCAUUGGGCGUAAAGCGCACGUAGGCGGUCUGUUAUGUCGGAUGUGAAAGCCCUCGGCUUAACUGAGGAAGUGCAUCCGAAACUGGCAGGCUUGAGUCUUGUAGAGGGGGGUAGAAUUCCAGGUGUAGCGGUGAAAUGCGUAGAGAUCUGGAGGAAUACCGGUGGCGAAGGCGGCCCCCUGGACAAAGACUGACGCUCAGGUGCGAAAGCGUGGGGAGCAAACAGG